CCUGACAGCUUUCUUCUGCACUCAUUCCAGUUUCUUCUGGUGAAUAACGAGAUGAGGGUCUCACAUUAUACAAGCAUACUGCAUUAUAGGAAGUACCAGCGACUUGUAGGCCGCUAAUCGUAGUUUCGAUUUGUGGUUGUCAGCGAACAAUAACAGUAUCCUGGCUGCGCGGGAUGACAGCGAUAAUCGAGGAGCGUGGGACGUGAUGAAUGAUGAUAUUUCGACAUAGUUUCUCCAACUCUCUGCGACUGUAUGUUUAAAGGGCCAGGACGACACAAAUGCUGCAAAGUCAUUUGAAACUGCACUAACUGUUGCAAUUUGUUUGGGGGGAGGAACAGUUUGUGCAAAAUAGCGUGGGUUCAAGAAACACCAAGAACUGCGGCACAUUCUGAUGAAGCAGUAUGAAUGCUUUCUUGGCAUACACCAAAGGUACACACCUUCCCAAACAAAAACCCCUCUUUUCUGAAGGUUCCAUAGGAUUAAGUAUGGCAGCGCUUCCCAAACUCUGUUACCCUGCUUCCCAUCAAAACUUAUAAAAUUGAGCGCCGUGACCCCUCCUUUCUUGACAAUGCCACAAGCUUUUUGAUUCCAAUGCGUGAAACGUGUUACACAAAAUUGACGCUGAAGUUUUAUUCGAGUGAAUCAGCUGGGCUAGACAAAUGCUAGCAGGAAUGGCUCAUGACUCAAGUGACACUGUUUGUUAUAACAUAGUGUGUCGAAAUGAGGGAGGAGUUUCAACGCAGCAGCCCUCAGUUCCGGCUCGAUGUUGAGCAGCGACAUGUACAUUGUUUUCAUCGUCGCCACCGCAGUAAGCCAAGUCCGCAGAGGAGCGGACGCACGAUAACCGUAGCAGAUGAC